GGUGAACCUAGAGUGGUCAUCCGAGGAAAGAAGGUCACUGCAUUGCUGAUAGUGAGGAGCAGAAAGUUCAUGUUAUUGUUGGUGUGUUGACCCUUACCACUCUCCAAUUUUAGUCCACCCCUAUUGACCACAUAGUUCAAAUGAGUAUUAUGGGUGUGAUUACAUGAGUCAUAUCUGCAACAUGGCUCAUUUUUGAAUGUUUGCUGGUGGGAUGCUCAUCUCUUCUAUGUCUACAAGAAUAUUUUGCCAGUGAUGACGUGUGUUUAGAGGAUGGGAUCCUUGCAAUUGUCAAACAAGGAGAUGAGAGACCCCUUGAAUUGCUUGCUAAAGCAUAUGCUAUCAAAUCUUUUGACAUAGAUCCCCAGAACCCCUCUGAUGUUGUUUUCACGUUAGAAUGGGAAUCAAUCGGUGUCCUACCUUGUGGCGAGAUGGCGAGAAGAAAGAUAAUUUUUACUACCAAGGGAUCUUAAUCAGAAUUCUAGGCUCAUUCAUACAUUCACUACAAUGCCUUCGAACUCAUGAACAUUUAUCUCUGGCUCUAUUGUGGUGGGUUACAUGAAUAGAGUUUUUGCAUGUUCUUCGUUUUAUAUGGUGACAUACUUGUUACUAUGUGACAUUGUUUGAUGAAACCCUUGCGGCAUUGUAUUAUUUAUUUUGUUCUAUAUAGUCUUAACAUUUUAUCAA